rnacentral:rRNA from 1 species
UACGUAGGGUGCGAGCGUUGUCCGGAAUUACUGGGCGUAAAGGGCUCGUAGGCGGCCAACUAAGUCGGACGUGAAAUCCCCAGGCUCAACCUGGGAACUGCGUCCGAUACUGGAUGGCUUGAAUCCGGGAGAGGGAUGCAGAAUUCCAGGUGUAGCGGUGAAAUACGUAGAUAUCGGGAGGAACAUCCGUGGCGAAGGCGACUACCUGGACCAGCACUGACACUGAGGCACGAAAGCGUGGGGAGCAAACAGG